rnacentral:lncRNA from 1 species
CUCCAUGACUCUGCUUCAUUCUUACCCAUGGCACUAUUGUCUCUCACCCCCUUGAAAGAAGCUCCUUCAAGGCAGAGAUUUCCUCUGGUUUCCUCACAGAUACAUUCCCCGCACCUUGAAAAGUGCCUGACACAGCAGGGGAACUUAAUAGCUGUGAAUGAAGGAAUGAGUGAGUGAGUGAGCUUCUCUGCAAAUGUUGGCUGCACCACGCUCUCUUCUUGCUGUAGGAAACUGAACAGGUUACCAUCAACCAACAUAUGUCGAACUGAGGAUACCAGGACCUGGGAGUCACCGAGCUCAGAGCCCACUGCCCUGGCCACAGCAGCAUGGUCAGCGGCUCUCACCUUCCUCCCCUCCCCCUCCCGGCUCGCACGCCUCCUUGCUCCUCUCCCUGCCAUCUGGAGAUUAGGGGUAAGUAUGCCAGCAUGCCUCAGGGCUUUUCUUCUGUGGGUGUGUAUGCGUGUGCGUGUGUUUCAGGACUCAAAAUGCUUCAGAGAUCACAGUGAUGACGAAGGUGGGACGGUCACUGCUCUCUGGAGCGAGCCUGGCCUCGACUCAACAUUCCAUUCACUGUGCUCAGCGGGCUGCAGACGCCUGUCUUCGUAAGCCUCCCAGCGACCCUAUGGGGUAGCCAUUACACCCUAGUACACCCG